GUGGGCAUAGCUCAGUGGUAGAGCACAUGCUUAGCAUGCAAGAGGUCUUGGGUUCAAUCCCAGUACCUCCA
rnacentral:tRNA from 1 species